GUACCAUCUUACAUAGCAAAAGGAUCACUCUUAUAUACACAUCAACCUUUCAAAUUCAAGUACAAUCAUUUAUAUGAUAGGACCUUAUAUAAAUAUUUUAUACAAAUCAUUGGAAUUGAUUUUGGAGUCACAGCUAGUCUUCCAAACCAUCAUAUCAGGCAUAUUGAUCAAAGGGCCAAUGACGGUUACGUCAUAUCUAGACCUAUUUAACAAGUUGGUCAGGU
rnacentral:lncRNA from 1 species